CAGUGCUAGAGCAUCUCGGUUC
rnacentral:siRNA from 1 species